UGCAGUUUAAAAGCUCGUAGUUGGAUCCUAGGGACGCGCAUUUCAAGCGUCCGCACUAUCGGGUCAAACCGGUAGUGCGUGGCGUUGCGGGCUCGGUCCGUUGGUGCCUACUAAAGCAUCAGCGUGUCAACCGGCCCGCCCGUCCCCUCCUUCUGGAUUCCCGUUCCUGCUAUUGAGUUAGUGGGGACGUCACAGGGGGUCCAUCGUCGGUCAGCAAUGGCCGGCGGUGGAUCCCUGGGGCCCAGAUCGUUUACCGUGAAAAAAUUAGAGUGUUCAAAGCAGGCAGAUCCAAUUUUCUGCCACCGAAUACAUUAGCAUGGGAUAAUGGAAUAGGACCCUGUCCUCCUAUUUUCAGUUGGUUUUGGCACGCGAGGACCAGGGUAAUGAUUAAUAGGGAUAGUUGGGGGCAUUAAUAUUUAAUUGUCAGAGGUGAAAUUCUUGGAUUUAUGAAAGAUUAACUUCUGCGAAAGCAUCUGCCAAGGAUGUUUUCAUUAAUCAAGAACGAAAGUUAGGGGAUCGAAGACGAUCAGAUACCGUCGUAGUCUUAACCAUAAACGAUGCCGACCAGCGAUUAGGAGACGUUGAAUACAAAACACCACCAUCGGUGCGGUCGUCCUUGGCGCGUCGCGGCUUGCCGUGGCGUGCGAGGGCGGUUUAGCCUGAUGGCAUCGGUGAAUGACUCCCCUAGCAGCUUGUGAGAAAUCAUAAGUCUUUGGGUUCCGGGGGGAGUAUGGUCGCAAGGCUGAAACUUAAAGGAAUUGACGGAAGGGCACACCAGGAGUGGAG
rnacentral:rRNA from 1 species